GAGUAAACACAAUUAUCGGAAGAGAAAUUCCCAUCUUAAAGUUAGGCAGGAAAAGAAGAAAAUGAACUUGACCACCAGAAAAAGGCUUCUCAACAUUCACACAACGGUGAUUCAAUUUUUCUUCUAUAUGAUUCGGUUAAUCCUAAUUGUAUAUCCUAGAAUCGGAGAAGAUGAUAAAAAUAUUGAUGCAUAUGCUCACACUUCCGCACAUUUUCUGUCAAGCCUGUAGUAGUUAAGUUCACUUGUUAUUUUGUAUCCUUAAUUCUAAUGAUUUUGUUAGUGCAGCACUUGAGAUCAAAUUAUGACUGGCGCAGUGUUAUUCGCAAAAAAAAAACGUACGAGAGAUUCAUGUUGUUUCACUUGAUAUUGUUGGAAAUGUAGUACUGCCUUUGAGAUUGACUGCAGAGCUGGAUGUCAGAGUGUGCAAGGCAUUCGCAGAUUUUAGUGUGGAAGAAGCACAUGCCUGUGCCAGCUUCGCGCGUGCUAUUUUUAUAUGGAUCCUGUCUGAGAUGGGGACUAUGUAAUAUGCAUUGGAGGGGAAACAGUUUCACCAUGUGGAGCUACAUCCAGGUGGAACUUAAGUUUUAUUUUCUUUACCUUUUCCCUCUGUUUUCACCUGCAUUAUGCAAGACAUAGGCACAUCCAGUUGCCACUUGGUUUCCAAGGUAAAAGUGAGAGGCUUUUUAUGCUAUUGUUUGCAUGGCCAAGUUGGUCAAACUUAUGUGUCUGGGUGGAUGCUAAAUAAUAUUUGUGUUUUCUCUUGGCCAUAUGGAGAACCUGUACUGUCCAUAGUAAACUUGGUAUUUCAAUUAGCACAAGCUCUAUUUUGUGGGUACUGUUCAGCCUUGUUUCUCUGUUUUCCUUAAUUUCCGUUCACUAACGCAUGCUAGAUAUUAUAUUUGGAGUCCAAAGAAGCAGUGAGCAGUUAUAAUUGAUGUUACAACUUUAACUCUGAUUUGCUUACCAUUCAAGUGAGGUUUUUUUGUUGAUAGUAAACUGAUUGCUUUAUCAGUCUGCUGAAAUCUAUUUACUCCGAGUUUGUCUUUCUGGGUUGUGAAUGGAAUGGUAAAGUUCGGGGCAACUACACCAGUUCAUCUUUUUGGGCUGUGAACACCAACUUGGAUACAAACAACAGCUGCCCUCUUCCUUACUACUCUUUUUGCUCCUUCCACAACCUUGUUUGUCAUUGUAUUGUUAUUUAGUUAAUUGAUCUUGUCCUUCUUUUUGCUCCUUCCACAAGCUUGCGUGCUAAAUUCUGUAAUAUGGUGCAUAAUAUUUAUGUUAAAUUAUUAAAUGUGGUGUAUUGACAGUGAACCACAUGUUACUUAGGUCUAUUUGUAGUAACAUUUCCA